rnacentral:rRNA from 1 species
CGGAGGGUGCAAGCGUUAUCCGGAUUUACUGGGUUUAAAGGGUGCGUAGGUGGGUCUGUAAGUCAGUGGUGAAAUCUCCGAGCUUAACUCGGAAACUGCCAUUGAUACUAUAGGUCUUGAAUUAUCUGGAGGUGAGCGGAAUAUGUCAUGUAGCGGUGAAAUGCUUAGAUAUGACAUAGAACACCAAUUGCGAAGGCAGCUCACUACGGAUAUAUUGACACUGAGGCACGAAAGCGUGGGGAUCAAACAGGAUUAGAUACCCUGGUAGUCCACGCCCUAAACGAUGGAUACUCGACAUACGCGAUACACUGUGUGUGUCUGAGCGAAAGCAUUAAGUAUCCCACCUGGGAAGUACGACCGCAAGGUUG